rnacentral:rRNA from 1 species
CCUACGGGAGGCAGCAGUCGAGAAUCAUUCACAAUGGGGGAAACCCUGAUGGUGCGACGCCGCGUGGGGGAAUGAAGGUCUUCGGAUUGUAAACCCCUGUCUUUUGGGAGCAAAUUAAAAAGAUAGUACCCCAAGAGGAAGAGACGGCUACCGCUGGACCAGCAGCCGCGGUAAUACAAAGGUCUCAAGCGUUGUUCGGAAGCACUGGGCGUAAAGCGUGCGUAGGCUGUUUCGUAAGUCGUGUGUGAAAGGCGCGGGCUCAACCCGCGGACGGCACAUGAUACUGCGAGACUAGAGUAAUGGAGGGGGAACCGGAAUUCUCGGUGUAGCAGUGAAAUGCGUAGAUAUCGAGAGGAACACUCGUGGCGAAGGCGGGUUCCUGGACAUUAACUGACGCUGAGGCACGAAGGCCAGGGGAGCGAAAGGGAUUAGAUACCCGAGUAGUC